AGAACGACUCUCGGCAACGGAUAUCUCGGCUCUCGCAUCGAUGAAGAACGUAGCGAAAUGCGAUACUUGGUGUGAAUUGCAGAAUCCCGUGAACCAUCGAGUCUUUGAACGCAAGUUGCGCCCGAAGCCUUCUGGCCGAGGGCACGUCUGUCUGGGCGUCACAC
rnacentral:rRNA from 1 species